rnacentral:rRNA from 1 species
UACGUAGGGGGCAAGCGUUGUCCGGAAUCAUUGGGCGUAAAGAGCGUGUAGGCGGCCAGAAAAGUCCGCUGUGAAAACUCGAGGCUCAACUUCGAGCUGUCGGUGGAAACUUUCUGGCUAGAGUCCGGAAGAGGAGAGUGGAAUUCCCGGUGUAGCGGUGAAAUGCGCAGAUAUCAGGAAGAACACCCGUGGCGAAGGCGGCUCUCUGGGACGGUACUGACGCUGAGACGCGAAAGCGUGGGGAGCGAACAGG